rnacentral:rRNA from 1 species
UACGUAGGGUGCGAGCGUUAAUCGGAAUUACUGGGCGUAAAGCGUGCGCAGGCGGUUUUGUAAGCCCGAUGUGAAAUCCCCGGGCUCAACCUGGGAACUGCAUUUGUGACUGCAUCGCUGGAGGGCGGUAGAGGGGGAUGGAAUUCCGCGUGUAGCAGUGAAAUGCGUAGAUAUGCGGAGGAACACCGAUGGCGAAGGCAAUCCCCUGGGCCUGCACUGACGCUCAUGCACGAAAGCGUGGGGAGCAAACAGG